rnacentral:rRNA from 1 species
GGGCCUUGGCGGGAGGCUAAAAUGCAGUCGAGCGGAUGAAGGGAGCUUGCUCCUGGAUUCACGGCGGACGGGUGAGUAAUGCCUACGAAUCUGCCUGGUAGUGGGGGACAACGUUUCGAAAGGAACGCUAAUACCGCAUACGUCCUACUGGAGAAAGCAGGGGACCUUCGGGCCUUCGCUUAUUGACAAGGUGAGCCUAAGGUUCGGAUUAGCUAUGUGUGAGGUAUGGCUCACCAAGGACGCCGUAACUGUCUGAGAGUGUAUGAUGCAUCACACUGGAUGAGACACGGUUCCAACUCCUACGGGAGGCAGCUGGGGAUAUUGGACAAUGGGCAAAGCCUGAUCCAGCAUGCCGCGUGUGUGAAGAAGUCUCGGUGUAAACAUUAUGGGAGGGAAGUGGUGUAAUUAAUACUUGCAUUUGAACGUUACCGACAAAUAAGCACGGCUAACUCUGUCCAGCAGCCGCGGUAAUACAAGGGUGCAGAGCGUUAAUCGUGAAUUACUGGGCGUAAGACGCGCGUAGGUGUUCGUUAAGUUGGAUGUGAAAUCCCACGGGCUCAACCUGGGAACUGCAUCCAAAUACUGGGAGCUAGAGUAUGUAGAGGUGGUGGAAUUUCCUGUGUAGCGGUGAAAUGCGUAGAUAUAGAAGAACACCAGUGGCAAGGCGACCACCUGGACUGAUACUGACACUGAGUGCGAAAGCGUGGGAGCAAACAGGAUUAGAUACCCUGGUAGUCCACGCCGUAAACGAUGUCAACUAGCCGUUGGGAGCCUUGAGCUCUUAGUGGCGCAGCUAACGCAUUAGUUGACCGCCUGGGGAGUACGGCCGCGGUUAAAACUCAAAUGAAUUGACGGGGCCCGCAAAGCGGUGGAGCAUGUGGUUUAAUUAGCACCGAAACCUUACCAGGCCUUGACAUCCAAUGAACUUUCCAGAAUGGAUUGUGCCUUCGGGAACAUUGAACAGGUGCUGCAUGGCUGUGUCAGCUCGUGUCGUGAGAUGUUGGGUUAGUCCCUGUACGGACCAACCCUUGUCUUAGCUUACCACACGUUAAUGGUUGGCUUAAAGGAGACUGCUCGUGACAUGAACCUGAGAAGGCUGGGGGAAUGAACGAUCAGAGGUCAUUAUGGGCUCUAUACGCUGGCUAAUACCACGUGCCUAUCAAUGGAUCGGUAACAAAGGUUUGCGCAAUGCCGCGGAGGGCAUCUACCUUAGUCCGAUCGCACGCACUCGACUGCGUGAAGUGGGAAUCGCUAGUAAUCGCGAAUCAGAAUGUCGCGGUGAAUACGUUCCCGGGCCUUGUACACACCGCCCGUCACCCCAUGGGAGUGGGUUGCACCAGAAGUAGCUAGUCUAACCUUCGGGAGCCCGGUUACCACGGUGAUACAGCCGA